rnacentral:rRNA from 2 species
GAGUUUGAUCAUGGCUCAGAUUGAACGCUGGCGGCAGGCCUAACACAUGCAAGUCGAGCGGAUGACAGGAGCUUGCUCCUGAAUUCAGCGGCGGACGGGUGAGUAAUGCCUAGGAAUCUGCCUGGUAGUGGGGGACAACGUUUCGAAAGGAACGCUAAUACCGCAUACGUCCUACGGGAGAAAGCAGGGGACCUUCGGGCCUUGCGCUAUCAGAUGAGCCUAGGUCGGAUUAGCUAGUUGGUGAGGUAAUGGCUCACCAAGGCGACGAUCCGUAACUGGUCUGAGAGGAUGAUCAGUCACACUGGAACUGAGACACGGUCCAGACUCCUACGGGAGGCAGCAGUGGGGAAUAUUGGACAAUGGGCGAAAGCCUGAUCCAGCCAUGCCGCGUGUGUGAAGAAGGUCUUCGGAUUGUAAAGCACUUUAAGUUGGGAGGAAGGGCAGUAACUUAAUACGUUGCUGUUUUGACGUUACCGACAGAAUAAGCACCGGCUAAUAA